UCAUGUAGAGAUUGCUGCAUACACUUGGAUUUCAGCUAUAUUAAUUUAUAUAAAAUAUGAAAACCUUUAAAAACCAUAAUCAAUAUGAUGAUAUUCAUUUUAUAAUUCACAAUUAUAAUAAAUAGUUUCUAUUUUCCCGCGUAAAAUUACAAAAAUCAUGGCUACCAUGAUGUGAUCAAUCAUUGGCUAUUAAUUUUUCGAUACAGUUUUUUUGGUUAUAAACAGGAGCAUGCUUAAAGAUCGUUGUUGAUUUUUCUAUGAUUUUUAAUUGUCAUGUCAACUGAGAAGUAAAUUUCAAGGUCCUUGUUCGACUUUCAUAUGUGGGCUACUGUUCCAACCCAUUAGUGAAAUUUCCGUAUGAGCUUACGAAAUCUGAGUGGACAUCAGACACUUUCUAUGUCGGUCAUCGUUUUCGUUUUCACAAAGUGUACUCGCACACAUCAGUAAGUAAGUUGACGUAUUUGCUAUCUCAUCGAUGUGCUAUCACUUUCUUGUCUCGCACCCUCGAUUAGUCGACUUCUUUAUCCGCAUUGCUCACUACAACAACUACAUAUAUAAUAGCGCGAGUGUACAAUCGAAUAUGGUUCAAUGAAGGUUCAUUUGGAUUCAGAUCUUGUAAUUGAACAUAUACACAACGUGCGAUCGAACGUGCUUGGUAUCUUUUUUCUUUCUUUCUUUCUUUUUUUUUUUUCUUCAUUUUUUUCUUUCUACAACUAAAUUCACGAUUAGAUAAUGCAAAUAAAAUUGUAUGCAUCACGUAAGAAGGAAGUAUAGCAGAGAAUAAAAAUCAACGCA